GGUGGCUCAGUGGUAGAGUGCUUGCCUCGCAAGCAUGAGGCCCUGGGUUCAAUUCCUCAGCACCA
rfam:Dipodomys ordii contig_30823, whole genome shotgun sequence.